UGGUGGAGUGAUUUGUCUGGUUAAUUCCGUUAACGAACGAGACCCCCGCCUGCUAAAUAGCACAGGGAAUGCUCAGCAUUGCCUGCGGCUUCUUAGAGGGACUUUCAGUGUUUAACUGAAGGAAGUUGGGGGCGAAUAACA
rnacentral:rRNA from 1 species